rnacentral:tRNA from 1 species
UGGAAACCUACUAAGUGUGCAACUUUCAA